GAAUACAUUAGCAUGGAAUAAUAGAAUAGGACGUGCGGUUCUAUUUUGUUGGUUUCUAGGACCGCCGUAAUGAUUAAUAGGGAUAGUCGGGGGCGUCAGUAUUCAGCUGUCAGAGGUGAAAUUCUUGGAUUUGCUGAAGACUAACUACUGCGAAAGCAUUCGCCAAGGAUGUUUUCAUUAAUCAGGGAACGAAAGUUAGGGGAUCGAAGACGAUCAGAUACCGUCGUAGUCUUAACCUAAACUAUGCCG
rnacentral:rRNA from 1 species